GGUGGAGAUGGCUGCGGCUAUGGUGGUGAUGCUGCGAGGGGGUCUCCUGCCCCAGGCGGGCCAGCUGCCUGCCCUCCAGACUGUUCGCUAUGGCUCCAAGGCUGUUACCCGCCACCGUCGUGUGAUGCACUUUCAGUGACAGAAGGUGAUGGCUGUGACUGAAUAUAUCCCCCAGACACCAGCCGUCAACCCAACGUGUCUGCCAUCUCCUCCCGGCCCCCGACAGGAGGAGAGGGGCCUCAUCAGGCUUCUCCGCCGGGAGGUAGCAGCAGUUUUCCAGGACAACUGACUGAUCGCUGUCUGCCAGAAGGUGGCUCUGAGCGCAGAGGACAAGCUUCUUAUGCCACAGCAGCUGCGGAAACGCAAGAUCCUGAUGAAGGUCUUCCCCAACCAGGUACCGAAGCCCUUCCUGGAGGAUUCCAAGUGCCAAAAUCUGCUGCCCCUUUUUGUGGGGCACAAGGUGCUGCUGGUCAGUGAAGAACCCAGGGUCAAGGAGACGGUCCGGAUCUUAAGGACUCUGCCAUUCCUGCCGCUGCUGGGUCGCUGCAUCGAUGACACCAUCCUCAGCAGGCAGGGCUUUCUCAACUACUCCAACCUCCCCAGCCUGCCCGUGGCACAGGGAGAGCUUGUAGUAGGCCUCAUCCGCCUCACCGCCCAGACCCACUCCCCGCUCCAGCACCAGCCCCUCCAGCUGACCACCCUGUUGGACCAGGACGUCAGACAGCAACGCGAGAAGGAUUCUGUUGUGUCAACCAACGGGAAGCCAGAUCCUCCUGACCCUGUUCCGGACUCGUACCCAGCCUGUUUAGCCAGCUCUGCCCAUAAAUACACUCUGAUUGGCUGUGCUGUCCACCAUGGGAGAUGUGGAAGAACUUGGGGGGAGGGAGUGCAUCUGUCACUGGGCUUUACUAGCAAUGAUUUUGUCAGGUAUAGGGCCACUCGGAGAUGCAGAGGACUCCAUUUCAAAUGGAGGCUGUCAGUCACUGGUUUUGUCCUUAGUUUUCCGCACUGGGGACCCAAUAGGAACAAAGGUCCAAGGCAGAGAGGCUGA